rnacentral:rRNA from 1 species
GACGAACGCUGGCGGCGUGCUUAACACAUGCGAGUCGAACGGAAAGGCCCUGCUUGCAGGGUACUCGAGUGGCGAACGGGUGAGUAACACGUGGGUGAUCUGCCCUGCACUUCGGGAUAAGCCUGGGAAACUGGGUCUAAUACCGGAUAGGAGCCAUUUUGAGUGUGAUGGUUGGAAAGUUUUUUCGGUGUAGGAUGAGCUCGCGGCCUAUCAGCUUGUUGGUGGGGUAAUGGCCUACCAAGGCGGCGACGGGUAGCCGGCCUGAGAGGGUGGACGGCCACAUUGGGACUGAGAUACGGCCCAGACUCCUACGGGAGGCAGCAGUGGGGAAUAUUGCACAAUGGGCGCAAGCCUGAUGCAGCGACGCCGCGUGGGGGAUGACGGCCUUCGGGUUGUAAACUCCUUUCGCUAGGGACGAAGCUUUUGUGACGGUACCUAGAUAAGAAGCACCGGCUAACUACGUG